AUUGAACGCUAGCGGGAUGCCUUACACAUGCAAGUCGAACGGCAGCACGGACUUCGGUCUGGUGGCGAGUGGCGAACGGGUGAGUAAUAUAUCGGAACGUGCCCAGUAGCGGGGGAUAACUACGCGAAAGCGUGGCUAAUACCGCAUACGCCCUUUGGGGGAAAGCAGGGGAUCGCAAGACCUUGCACUAUUGGAGCGGCCGAUAUCGGAUUAGCUAGUUGGUGAGGUAAUGGCUCACCA
rnacentral:rRNA from 1 species